UAGGGAAUCUUCCACAAUGGACGCAAGUCUGAUGGAGCAACGCCGCGUGAGUGAAGAAGGUUUUCGGAUCGUAAAGCUCUGUUGUUGGUGAAGAAGGAUAGAGGCAGUAACUGGUCUUUAUUUGACGGUAAUCAACCAGAAAGUCACGGCUAACUACGUGCCAGCAGCCGCGGUAAUACGUAGGUGGCAAGCGUUGUCCGGAUUUAUUGGGCGUAAAGCGAGCGCAGGCGGAAUGAUAAGUCUGAUGUGAAAGCCCACGGCUCAACCGUGGAACUGCAUCGGAAACUGUCAUUCUUGAGUGCAGAAGAGGAGAGUGGAAUUCCAUGUGUAGCGGUGGAAUGCGUUGAUAUAUGGAAGAACACCAGUGGCGAAGGCGGCUCUCUGGUCUGCAACUGACGCUGAGGCUCGAAAGCAUUGGUAGCGAACAGG
rnacentral:rRNA from 1 species